rnacentral:tRNA from 1 species
UCCUCGAUAGCUCAGUGGUAGAGCAGUCGGCUGUUAACCGACGGGUCGUAGGUUCAAGCCCUACUCGGGGAG